CCUACGGGAGGCAGCAGUAAGGAAUAUUGGUCAAUGGACGAAAGUCUGAACCAGCCAUGCCGCGUGAAGGAUUAAGGCCCUCUGGGUUGUAAACUUCUUUUAUCUGGGACGAAGAAAGGGUAUUCUUACUCACUUGACGGUACCAGAGGAAUAAGCACCGGCUAACUCCGUGCCAGCAGCCGCGGUAAUACGGAGGGUGCAAGCGUUAUCCGGAUUUACUGGGUUUAAAGGGUGCGUAGGUGGGCUUGUAAGUCAGUGGUGAAAUCUCCGGGCUUAACCCGGAAACUGCCAUUGAUACCAUAGGUCUUGAAUUAUCUGGAGGUAAGCGGAAUAUGUCAUGUAGCGGUGAAAUGCUUAGAUAUGACAUAGAACACCAAUUGCGAAGGCAGCUUACUACGGAUACAUUGACACUGAGGCACGAAAGCGUGGGGAUCAAACAGGAUUAGAUACCCUGGUAGUCCACGCCCUAAACGAUGGAUACUCGACAUACAGCGAUACACUGUUGGUUGUCUGAGAGAAGACAUAGUAGUACCACCGUACGGAGGUACGAGCGUCGAGAGUUAGUUAACGUACGAAUUAGUAAGUUAGAGGCGUGAGAGNGCGACGGACGACGACGAGGGAGGAGG
rnacentral:rRNA from 1 species